UACAGAGGGUGCGAGCGUUAAUCGGAAUUACUGGGCGUAAAGCGCGCGUAGACGGUUUUGUAAGUCAGAUGUGAAAUCCCUGGGCUCAACCUGGGAACUGCAUUUGAGACUGCAUGGCUAGAGUAUCGAAGAGGGAAGUGGAAUUUCCGGUGUAGCGGUGAAAUGCGUAGAUAUCGGGAGGAACACCUGUGGCGAAAGCGGCGCACUGGACCACAACUGACGCUGAGGCGCGAAAGCUAGGGGAGCAAACAGG
rnacentral:rRNA from 1 species